rnacentral:rRNA from 1 species
GAUGAACGCUGGCGGCGUGCUUAACACAUGCAAGUCGAACGAAGCACUUUAUUUGAUUUCCUUCGGGACUGAUUAUUUUGUGACUGAGUGGCGGACGGGUGAGUAACGCGUGGGUAACCUGCCUUGUACAGGGGGAUAACAGUUGGAAACGGCUGCUAAUACCGCAUAAGCGCACAGCAUCGCAUGAUGCAGUGUGAAAAACUCCGGUGGUAUAAGAUGGACCCGCGUUGGAUUAGCUAGUUGGUGAGGUAACGGCCCACCAAGGCGACGAUCCAUAGCCGAGCUGAGAGGGUGACCGGCCACAUUGGGACUGAGACACGGCCCAAACUCCUACGGGAGGCAGCAGUGGGGAAUAUUGCACAAUGGGCGAAAGCCUGAUGCGGCGACGCCGCGUGAGCGAAGAAGUAUUUCGGUAUGUAAAGCUCUAUAAGCAGGGAAGAUAAUGACGGUACCUGAAGAAGAAGCACCGGCUAAAUACGUG